rnacentral:misc_RNA from 1 species
AACGCACAUUGCGCUCUCUGGUAUUCCGGAGAGCAUGCUUGUUUGAGUAUCAGUAAACACCUCAAUUUCAUAAUCUUUUUUUUUGAAAUUGGACUUGAGCAAAUCCCAACGUAUAUUUUAUUAUGUGGAGGGUUGCUUCAAAUGCAGGUGCAGCCGAUCAUUCUUCUGGGCUAAAAGCAUUAUCUAGUUAAUCCCGUAAAACGGAUUAUUCACUUUAUUUGCUGCAGCUUACCUUUAAAAGGAAGAAAUGGUCAUUGUGCUGACUGAUGCAGGAUUUCUCAGAGGUCUGUAAAACGACCUUUGAAAACUCGAUCUCAAAUCAAGUAAGACUACCCGCUGAACUUAA